AAGAGCGCCAGCCCCCGAGGCCCGGGAGGAGGGCAGCAGAGGCCAAGUGCUGCUGGCAGCAGAGAGGGCGGCGGGCAGCUUGCAGCAGGGCAGUGGCGGUGGGCACUCGGCAAACAACCCAAGAAGGCCACAGAGGACAGCUGGGGAACAGCAAGGUGCUGGGAACGGUCCCCACGGGUUCAGGAAGAGCCGGGCAGGCCCCGCUGCUGCCCAAGGGCCCGAGGCAGAGCCUAGGCCUGCUGGAGGGGCCUCCCCUGGUGGGCUUCGGGCCUCAGGAAGAGGAUCAUGACGAGGAGAAGUGGAAGAGGCCGGCCUGGAAAGGCCAGUCCUGGGGGCUCCCACUGAGGACAUUCUCAGGGAGGAAGAGCCACGGACACGUCGGAGGAGCCUGCGGUUCUGACCUCUCCCGUGGCUUCUCUCUGAUGCUGCCCACAGCUGCAGCCUGAUGCUGUCUGAACAGGUUGGACAAGUGAACAGUGGAGGAGCGGCAUGGAAUCCUCUUUGCUCACCGUGCCGUGGAACCACUGGGGACAAGAGGAGGACAAGUUAGAACAAGUGAAGGUCGUGGUGGCACCACAGCUCUCCGGGAGCCAGGCCUGUGCAGCCCAGCGCGACCGGGGGACAGGGGCCUUCCCGCAGACGUUCAGCCUGCCAGGAGCAGAAGGGGGCCGCAGCCACCCGUUCCUCAUCAGGAUGCUGAGCGCGAAGGUGGCCCCGCUGGGAUAGAGCAGCCCCUGCACAGUCACUCGGGCUGCACAGGAACAUGGGGACAGGAGUCAGUGUCCACAGGGCCCCUGCUGAGGCCGGGCAUAAGGCACAUCCCAGGAGAAAAACUUACCCCAGAACCCAGGGGUCAGAAAGUCAUCUGGAAGCCCAGAUUUGGUUUCCAGGACUAAACAGGACUGACUACCAUAAUGAAAGGCAACCUUCUGGCAGAUUUUGCUGAAGUGACUUCACUUAUUAUCAAAGAUAAAAUGAGGCUCCUGAUCACUCUGAGAUCGUCCUUGAGCAAGAAUAAGCAGUUACACUUGACAACUGGCAAAACCCAAAUGUUCCAGAUUGGAGCAUGCAGACAGCAAAACGUUCAAUUUUAAUUUUCUCUAUUUUAGGAGUGUCUUUCCUUUGCAUUUAAAAACCACAAUUACAAAAAUUUUUAUGAGAAUAUUCCAAAUUUAAUAUGCUAUUAGCAUUUAAUUUUCUAUAACUCAGGAUUGAAAUCCUUUAAUCGAAGUCAGAGAACCUAACGUUUAAUGAGCUCCGGCUUCUCUCAAAGCUGAGUAUUAGCAGAGAUAAAUCGUGUAACUUAGUGCUUUGGGGGAAACACUGCGCAUACCGAAGUGAUGACUUCGAGAUCCUUCAGAUACGUUCGCUCAGUGGUAGACACCUCCUUAGCGAUGAAGUACGCCUUGUCAGUUGGGAAUCUCUGCAAAAUCCAUCCAUGGAAACAAGACACAAUGAGUGGAAGGCUCUGCGAAUGUCCUCAUUAUUAGAAAGUCCUAGUUAAAGAACUUACACGUUACUAACUUAUGAUCGUUGGUUAGCCAGCAUCAAGACUAAAUGAACUCUUAUUUUUGUGUUUAAAGAAACUAGAAAAAAAUAAUGGAUUUCUCCACUGAGAAUAUGGCCUUGGAAUAUUUCCUUCCAUGUAAAGAUUACCAUCAGUCAAAGGGCUCACUCAAAUGCCAGUCAUGUAGUCUUUCAAGGGAACUAGGAUCCUUGGUCCCGGUGCCAUGGCUGGUAGCGUCAGCGCUCAUGAAAUUUCAAAAAAUGGGAGUUAGAGUGUUUGUGGGAUUAGCAAGGAUGAAAGAGACCAGGGUGUCAUCAGGAAGGAAGUCCCUGACAGCCUGCCAUCUUCCCAUUAGAACCACAUCAUUCUACGUCUGGGUAUGUACACAAAGGAACUGAAACAGAGACUUAACAAAUUCAUGCAUACCCGUGUUCAGAGAGGUGUUCGCAACAGCAAGAGGUGGGAGCAGCAUAUCUGCUCAGUGACACACAAAUGCAGAAACUAAAUGUGGUACAUCCAUAUAGGGGAAUAUUACUCAGCCUUAAAGAGGAAGGAAAUUCUGAUCUGCUACGACAUGGAUGAACCUUGAGGACAUUACACUGAGUGGAACAAGUCAAUCACACAAGGACAAAGACCCUCUGAUCACACUCAUAUGAGGUCCCAGGAGUAGCCAAACUCAGAGACAGAAAAUAGAAUUGUGGUUGCUAGGGUCUGAGACAGGGUGGAUUAUUGUUUAAUACGAACCAAGAUUUUGUUGAGGAAAGAGUUUUGAAGAUGGACAUGAUGUUGAGAAUGGAUGAAUGCCACCAAAUGCAAACCAGUACAUUUUAUGCUAUUUCACUUUACUACAAUAAAGACCCGUGCAUGCACUAGCAAGUGCCUGCUGGUACCUUUCUCCGGCCCUCUUCCUCGUCGUCGGUCCUGGGGCACGCCUGGUCAUUCAGCAGCGGGCUGAUCAGGGGAGAGGCCUGCUUGGUGUCAGGGCUCAGGUUGGGAGACAAGGUCACGUUGGUGGGGGCAGCUCCUCCCUGUGAGUUGAUGGACAGCUCUGAAAGGUGAGGGCUACCAGUCAGGGAGCCUGUUUGGGGAUGAGAAGUUUUAAAGAAAAAAAAAAAAAAAGUAAUUCCCUCUGGGACUUGAUUUCCAUUUACAACUUUUCACCUUUUCAAAUCUUUAGAACCUUGGCCACCGCAGGGCAAACAAUGCAUUCAUUAUUUUCUAGUUUUUUCCCCCCUAAAUUGUGGCUGCCUUAAUAGUAUGCAUAAUUCAAUGGUGCCUCAGUUACGUAAUUAAGGAUAAGAUAGAACUCUGCACAAUAACAGUUAAAAUAGCUUAAAAGCUAUUCCCUUAAUCAUAUUUUCAUCUCAUAGCUACUGCUUUGACUUUUAAGAAUAACUCAAGAAAGACAAAAGUAUCUAUAGAACAAUAAGACACGGAAAAAUGAGCAGAAAAUAGAACUAAACUAACAGGCAUCUAAAGGGCUGGUAUACCAAGGACAGACUACGUCUUGUAACAAUGGGCACAGCUAACAGAAAGGUCAAGCGACUAACUCCCCACUCUACAGAGAACAGAGCAAGCUCGUUAUACCUGGUGAUGUCAUUCCAUGUCUGUCACUGUGUGGGACAGAAACACUAGCAUCAUAUCACAUGCAAUAGUGGUCAUUUAAAAAUACAAGCUGAAGGUCAUCACAUUAUCACAGUUCCUCUUUAUGAGUCAAAAGCAACAGGUAGGAAAUCAGUCCUUGAAAAAGGAUACCAUAUUAAAUAAUAAGAAAAAGUACAUAUUACCCAUUGUAAGUCAGCUGAGGGUGAGGGUGUGUACAGGACGCUCUGCCAACGUGAUUUUGCCAGUAUCUCUACCUCCAUCCAUGUGGCUACAUGGAGUGUUUCAAAAUAUAUUUCUAACCUGUUUGUUUUGACCUAACACAGUUAUAAUUCUAGUGCAGUUGGUAUUAGGUAAACAAAGUUACCAUUCUAAGGAAAGACAAGGUCAAUGCUUCCUCCAUUUUUCAGUAUGCAGUUCCAGGUUCACGGCUACGCAGCACAUUGUUAAAGAUCUCCAAGGGAAAAGAGUAAUUUUCCGGGAGUACCCCCAUUUUCCUGACAUCUAUUGUCCCUCUGGAGUCGUUUGUAUAUUAUUUGGAAUUUACAAGACACAGCGGCCUAGGAAGGAGCUGAGGGAGUAGGGGCAGUAAGUUUGAUCCUGGUAGGAAUGAACUCCAGAGGAGCCAUCUCCCCGCAACCCUGCUCCCAGGUCGACCAGUUAGCUGUGUCACUGCAUCUGGAAAACAACAAAGAGCAGACGCCCUGCCCCCCUGACCACUGGUCAGUCCAGUGAUCCUUGAAUAACAAGAGUAGCAAAUAUGAGGAAAAGGCAGAUUUAAGAAGUUUGCAUUUAAACAAAAAUCCCUCCGUUUCAAACAAACCUCACUGAAAUGAAGUCCUGGUGUUAGUAGAGACCCCAUCACCCCACGCGCCACCAGACCCAGCAAACCCCGGAGAAAAAGGACAGAAAUCGCUUCACACAUGUCAAUUUUAUUGACACUAGUGCACAACUGAAUACAAUAAUUGUGAAAGAAUUGGAACCUGUCAAAUAGAAAGAGUGACAACAUAUUAAAACUGCAUCGUUUUCAAAGUACUACACUAUUCUCUUUUUUAAAAAUCACAAGAAGGAAAAUGUUAUCACUACAAAUAGGAAUAGAAAAGAGAAAUCUGGCAGUUUGUCUGGAGAUCAAAACAUUCCAUGCAUUUGUGAGCUGCUGCUGGGGCCGCGUGUCGGCAGUCCAGCGGGCACCUAGCAGGACCGACCCGGGGCUUACCGUCAGCUCCCGCACUGCCACUGCGUGAGGCCGGUGAGGCGUUAGAGCGGGACAUGCCGGGCCUGGCGCUGGCAGGGGCGAGGAACAGAAAAGCAUUCGUCUCCUCAGCGAGAGCCGAGCGAGAACAGACAGUUGUUAGGAGGCUAGCUCGAAGGGGGAGCGGCUGCAGGGAGCAGGGACCACCGGGCCGGAGAGCACCCGUGACAGAGGACGCCCACUGCCACUCGCAACAAGGAAGGUACAGUGCACACACCCAGACACGGCCACUUCCACCCCCGAAGGACAGUGCGAGAGCCUUGUUGGGUCCACCCCAGAGCCUGGUAUCGAGUAGACUGAGCAGGCUGAACGCAGAAGGCGACAGGCUGGUUCCAGGAGAGGCCAGCCUGCCCAGAAGGCCUGGCACCUUUCAGAGAAGAGUCGGGUAGACUGGGAAGAAUCCUCUCUGGACUAACGGGAGACAGGAAGUGGAAGGCUGAAUGUGGACAUCCUGGUCACCUGUGAGCCUCAGCAGGUAGGGUGGCUCAGGACAGGCCUGCAGGCUGGGUGACAGACUGCUACAUGUCACUCCUGUAGCCUAAAGAUGCAUGAGACCACCUCCACUAUACGUGCCGUACGCACACUCAGGGACGGACGGAACGGGGUGGUCAGUUUCCUUUUCCCGAGAGGGGUUUGUGUCUAUUCAUAGGGCUUACGAAAGGAAAGGCAGUAGAUGUGUUUAAACCGUAAGACCAAUAAAUCAAUAAACAUCCAACAGUCUGAUCUAGAAAUCUAUCAGCAAGACUAAGGAAGGCAAAAGUCCGAAUCUCUGAAGUUCAAUUUUACAAAUGUGAGCUGGGGUCAUGGUGAAGACGCCCCCUCCUCUCCUUGCAAGAAAAAACUACUCAAGGCUUUGAAAUUUUAUAGGAGCCAUAGUAAAAAAAAAAAAAAAAAAUCGCUCAUUAAUAUUCAGUAAUCAAUGAAAUGUGCUGACAAGGUCAAUUAGUAGAAUUUGGCAGCUUGAUGAGUAAUUAAAAUUCUCUUUUGACUUUGAGCCAGAGUGUUGACAAUAGUCUGUACAAACUGGUGUCCACACAGGGUGGUUGUGAAGAGGAUGCUAAUGAAAGCCAAUGUCCAAGGUCACAGUUACUGGAACUACAUGGAAUCAGUGUUCACUGAAGUAGUCCAUUUUAUAAAAAAGUCAACAAACGUGAUCCUGUCCUUAAAUAAGAUGUGCCCGACCCAAUAUGUACAGGACUACAAAGCUUCUUCAGAUCUUGUAGUCUGUCACCUGCUUUGAAGGCACAGUCAGGCAACCUGGAGAGGAAACUGUGACCGUCAUUUGCUGCUACUAAAUUAAAUGACUAACGCCUUCGCAUUUUUAAUCACUUUUCCUUUAUAAAGAAUUAAUGCAAAGUAAUUUCUUUCUUCAGCGAACUCUAGGCAAAUAAUUGUGGGGGACUCUGUAAGGAAGCACCUGGAUUUUAAGGCAAUAGGUAGAAAGAAGUUUAAAACCAGUGGAAAAAGAUCAGGUAACCCUGAACCUCUAGAAGUUUCCAAUGUUUUAAAAAAUAUUUUUCCUACUUCCAGAAAGUGCCCUGCUUUUUUUU